rnacentral:rRNA from 1 species
UACGUAGGGGGCAAGCGUUGUCCGGAUUUAUUGGGCGUAAAGAGCGUGUAGGCGGCUGGGUAGGUCCGUUGUGAAAACUCGAGGCUCAACCUCGAGACGCCGAUGGAAACCAUGUGGCUAGAGUCCGGAAGAGGAGAGUGGAAUUCCUGGUGUAGCGGUGAAAUGCGCAGAUAUCAGGAAGAACACCCGUGGCUAAGGCGGCUCUCUAGUACGGUACUGACGCUGAGACGCGAAAGCGUGGGGAGCAAACAGG